ensembl:snoRNA LOC120094038 small nucleolar RNA U3
AAGACUAUACUUUCAGGGAUCAUUUCUAUAGUUCGUUAUUGAUGCAUUUGUUUCCAAAAUAACAGGGCAAUAUGAAUGGCAAGAAAUGAGAGGAGUGAAGAUUGUAUUUAAGCAGAUACCCAUCCUAAACAGCAGACCUGCUCUGACCUGUGACUUUAGUACAGAUUCGAAUUUGGAUUUCCAUCAUUCUGA